CCUACGGGCGACAGCAGUGGGGAAUAUUGGGCAAUGGGCGCAAGCCUGAUCCAGCAACGCCGCGUGAAGGAAGAAGGCUUUCGGGUUGUAAACUUCUUUUCGCAGGGACGAAGAAAGUGACGGUACCUGAGGAAUAAGCCACGGCUAACUACGUGCCAGCAGCCGCGGUAAUACGUAGGUGGCAAGCGUUAUCCGGAUUUAUUGGGUGUAAGGGGCGUGUAGGCGGGGGCGCAAGUCAGAUGUGAAAAGUCAGGGCUCAACCCUGAGCCUGCAUUUGAAACUGUGUUUCUGGAGUGCUGGAGAGGCAAGCGGAAUUCCGGGUGUAGCGGUGAAAUGCGUAGAUAUACGGAGGAACACCAGUGGCGAAGGCGGAUUGCUGGACAGUAACUGACGCUGAGGCGCGAAAGCGUGGGGAGCAAACAGGAUUAGAUACCCCAGUAGUC
rnacentral:rRNA from 1 species